UUUCUGGAAAAAUAAUCAAAAAAACUAGACACAAAAUGUGAUCUAAUGCAAAAAUCCACACAUUUUUUGGAUGAUUAUUUAAUCAGAUAUGAAUUUAUGAAAUGAAAGAAAAAAUAAAAAAAACAUGAAAAGCAUAGUAUGAAUAACAUGGAGGAAAAUGAGAUAAAAUGUGAAUGGCAUUUUUGGAUUUGUCACGAGCCAGGAUCGAAGUGAGGAUAAUUUUGAAUUGGAGCGCGCUUAGAGUGAAACGCGCCGUUUCACUUAAACGGACGUGGCAAGGUUAAGCGCUUAUGGC
rnacentral:lncRNA from 1 species